AUGCCGGCGAUCGCCUGCGGCGCCUGCGCGGCUGCCUUCCCCUCCUCCUCCCACGCCCGUAGCCCUCCGCCGCCUUCCGUGAGCUACCGGAAGCUCGUCUCGCCCACCCCCAGGCGGCUAGGGCACCGGCUGGCCGCUCCCAUGGCCUCCACCGUCGACUCGCCCGGCAGCUCCUCCGACUUCGCCAAGCGCAUGGACCGCGCCUGGCUCAUCUCCAAGCAACCAAGUCCGACUUCUUGUUCAUCUUGUCAAUCCACUGGCGAUGUGGAGUGCAGGUGGUGUGCAGGCACAGGCUUCUUUAUCCUUGGCAACAAUAUGUUGUGUGAAGUACCCUCGAAAAAUACAAGAUGUGUGAUUUGCUCUGGAAAGGGCUUUUCACGUUGCGCUGAUUGCAAAGGAACUGGGUUUCGCGCCAAGUGGCUUGAAGAGCCCCCUGUUGACAAAUGA
rnacentral:rRNA from 1 species